rnacentral:rRNA from 1 species
CUUGCUCUCUGGGUGACGAGCGGCGGACGGGUGAGUAAUGUCUGGGAAACUGCCUGAUGGAGGGGGAUAACUACUGGAAACGGUAGCUAAUACCGCAUAACGUCUUCGGACCAAAGUGGGGGACCUUCGGGCCUCACGCCAUCAGAUGUGCCCAGAUGGGAUUAGCUAGUAGGUGGGGUAAUGGCUCACCUAGGCGACGAUCCCUAGCUGGUCUGAGAGGAUGACCAGCCACACUGGAACUGAGACACGGUCCAGACUCCUACGGGAGGCAGCAGUGGGGAAUAUUGCACAAUGGGCGCAAGCCUGAUGCAGCCAUGCCGCGUGUGUGAAGAAGGCCUUCGGGUUAUAAAGCACUUUCAGCGAGGAGGAAGGGUGGUGUGUUAAUAGCGCAUCACAUUGACGUUACUCGCAGAAGAAGCACCGGCUAACUCCGUGCCAUCAGCCGCGGUAAUACGGAGGGUGCAAGCGUUAAUCGGAAUUACUGGGCGUAAAGCGCACGCAGGCGGUUUGUUAAGUCAGAUGUGAAAUCCCCGCGCUUUAACGUGGGAACUGCAUUUUGAAAACUGGGCAAGCUAGAGUUCUUUGUUAGAGGGGGGGUAGAAUUUCCAGGUGUAA